AGAAUGAACGCUGGCGGCAGGCCUAACACAUGCAAGUCGAACGGGUAUCUUCGGAUACUAGUGGCGGACGGGUGAGUAACGCGUGGGAACAUGCCCUUUGGUACGGAAUAGCCUCGGGAAACUGGGAGUAAUACCGUAUGUGCUCGAAAGAGGAAAGAUUUAUCGCCAAAGGAUUGGCCCGCGUUGGAUUAGGUAGUUGGUGGGGUAAUGGCCUACCAAGCCGACGAUCCAUAGCUGGUUUGAGAGGAUGAUCAGCCACACUGGGACUGAGACACGGCCCAGACUCCUACGGGAGGCAGCAGUGGGGAAUCUUAGACAAUGGGCGCAAGCCUGAUCUAGCCAUGCCGCGUGAUCGAUGAAGGCCUUAGGGUUGUAAAGUAUCUUUCAGGUGGGAAGAUAAUGACGGUACCACCAGAAGAAGCCCCGGCUAACUCCGCGCCAGCAGCCGC
rnacentral:rRNA from 1 species